CGCUGGCUAAAGAAAGAAAAACAUGGCAUGAAAACUCCCAUACAUUUCAAGAUCUUUCCUCAAUACACUAUGAAGUUCAGAUUUCAACAUUCAAGUGUCUCCCCACUUAUGCACGUUUGAGUUGCGUAUGACCGUGUCUGUGUGUGGCACCAGGAAAUAAUUAAAUAAAUCAAAUUAAACUGGAAAGGCGCAAAAAUGGCACAAAAAGAGGAAAACUGCAAAAAUGGCAUGAAAAGAGCAGGAAAACAACUAGCAAUCCCAAGAGCCCUUGCAAUUGCAAGCCAGAUACUUUGAGUCUGGUGCCCUCUAGAUAUUUUGGAAUGCAAAUCCCAUCAGACCCAAUGAUCACAGCUGAAGUAGAUGAUCUACACCAUGUUCUGUCAAACAAAUAGUUGAAAAAGUAUAAUGAAGACAAUCAGCAACACACAGGAGGCUGGAGAAUCUCCCGAUAUCCUACCAUGCUUUUUUGAAUUGACACCAAUAUGCAGACUUUGAUAUGUUUUAAAGUUGUCCAAAUCUCUUUAAACACUCACCCUUGUAUACAAGUCAGAAUAUGGCCUGUCACUCUUUUCUUCCAGCUGGAAAAAAAAGAAAAGUGUUAAUAUUAAAUUUGAACCAUUUCUUUGUAUUAGAAACCUGAAUUACUGGGAUCCCUUUUUCAUCCAUGUCAACACAAAGCUGAAACAGUAUUAUACAAUGAAAGUUUCCUUCUUCCUUUUCCUCCACCUGAAUAUUGCAUUUGCAUUUAACAAAACUUCAGAAUCAACAGCUCCGCACAAGGUAGUAUCAGCCCUACAAAUUAACACAAUGCCUUAUUGACAACAAGUUGCUUCUUAGGUUAGCCUUUUGUCAAGCCAAGCACAGAAAGUAAAUUCGAUGAAUGUAAUUUCAGUCAUGGUUGUGUGUGUUUUAAAUGAAGUGUAUUGACUACUGGAAAUUCACUAAGUAAUAUAUUUUAAACAUUAAGCUUUACUCAUCUGCGAACAUUUUUCUCCAUUUCUGCUUUCCAAAAUAAAAGUUUAGUAGUAAAUGGGUUGAGAAUAGUUUUUCAUUAUUUGCAGUUGCCACCAAGACAGACAAUAUAGACAAUGCUAUUUCAUUUGUAAUCUGUUGUACGCAUUAUAAACAGGAAACAUAACUUAUGAAAAACUGUUUUGUGGCAUAUGGUUUUAAUUCAUGAUCCUCUAGUUCAGGGAUUGCUAACCCAGCACCCAGAGGCACAAUGGCACCUGCAAAAGCCUUCAUUCAUCAAAAGCCUCAACAGAGACCUCCGACUCUAAGCUUUCGUUUUUAAAAAGGUUUUAACCCUCUUAGAAAGUUAUGAAGCAAAACAUUAUGAUUUAGCUCCACAAAUUUUCUUCACAUGUUCAAAUAUUUAUUAUCAUUAUCAAAAGUUCAUUCUUUCUCUGCUUUCUGAAGGAGCCCAGGGCAGCAAAUACUAUCACGCAAGUUAACUGAACUAUCAAGGCUAACAGGUAUUAAUGGCAGGCUGCAAGAAUAUGUCAUUUUCUUGUAACGCUGAGCUGG